GAUUUUGGAGGGCAAGUCUGGUGCCAGCAGCCCCGGUAAUUCCAGCUCCAAUAGCGUAUAUUAAAGUUGUUGCAGUUAAAAGCUCGUAGUUGAAUUUCGGGGUUAGUAGGUUGGUCAUGCCUCUGGUAUGUACUGGUCUCACUGAUUCCUCCUUCCUUAUGAACCGUAAUGCCAUUAAUUUGGUGUUGCGGGGAAUUUGGACUGUUACUUUGAAAAAAUUAGAGUGUUUAAAGCAAGCUAACGCUUGGAUACAUUAGCAUGGAAUAAUGAAAUAGGACGUUCGAUCUUAUUUUGUUGGUUUCUAGGAUUGACGUAAUGAUUAAUAGGGAUAGUUGGGGCCAUUAGUAUUCAAUUGUCAGAGGUGAAAUUCUUGGAUUUAUUGAAGACUAACUACUGCGAAAGCAUUUGCCAAGGAUGUUUUCAUUAAUCAAGAACGAAAGUUAGGGGAUCGAAUACGAUCAGAUACCGUCGUAGUCUUAACCAUAAACUAUGCCGACUAGGGAUCGGAUGAUGUUAAUUUUUUAAUGACUCAUUCGGCGCCUUACGGGAAACA
rnacentral:rRNA from 1 species